GACGAACGCUGGCGGCGUGCUUAACACAUGCAAGUCGAACGGAAAGGCCCUGCUUUUGUGGGGUGCUCGAGUGGCGGACGGGUGAGUAACACGUGAGUAACCUGCCCUUGACUUUGGGAUAACUUCAGGAAACUGGGGCUAAUACCGGAUAGGAGCUCCUGCUGCAUGGUGGGGGUUGGAAAGUUUCGGCGGUUGGGGAUGGACUUGCGGCUUAUCAGCUUGUUGGUGGGGUAGUGGCUUACCAAGGCUUUGACGGGUAGCCGGCCUGAGAGGGUGACCGGCCACAUUGGGACUGAGAUACGGCCCAGACUCCUACGGGAGGCAGCAGUGGGGAAUAUUGCACAAUGGGCGGAAGCCUGAUGCAGCAACGCCGCGUGCGGGAUGACGGCCUUCGGGUUGUAAACCGCUUUCGCCUGUGACGAAGCGUGAGUGACGGUAAUGGGUAAAGAAGCACCGGCUAACUACGUG
rnacentral:rRNA from 1 species